rnacentral:rRNA from 1 species
UACGAGGGGGGGCAAGCGUUGUUCGGAAUUACUGGGCGUAAAGGGCUCGUAGGCGGCCAACUAAGUCAGACGUGAAAUCCCUCGGCUUAACCGGGGAACUGCGUCUGAUACUGGAUGGCUUGAGGUUGGGAGAGGGAUGCGGAAUUCCAGGUGUAGCGGUGAAAUGCGUAGAUAUCUGGAGGAACACCGGUGGCGAAGGCGGCAUCCUGGACCAAUUCUGACGCUGAGGAGCGAAAGCCAGGGGAGCAAACGGG